UACGGGGGGGGCAAGCGUUGUUCGGAAUUACUGGGCGUAAAGGGCUCGUAGGUGGCCAACUAAGUCAGACGUGAAAUCCCUCAGCUUAACUGGGGAACUGCGUCUGAUACUGGAUGGCUUGAGUUUGGGAGAGGGAUGCGGAAUUCCAGGUGUAGCGGUGAAAUGCGUAGAGUAUCUGGAGGAACACCGGUGGCGAAGGCG
rnacentral:rRNA from 1 species